GACGCGGCGCUCUCGAUUGGGCCAGGGUUGGGCUGUUACCCGGCCUCACACCAUACCGGAAAUUAAAUUAGAUGGGUCAAGACCAAGGUGGGAAAGGUUAAGACUGAAACUUCUCAAAGGAAACAGGAAAAGGUCUCCCUGAACUUGAGGUCAGAUGGCUUCUGCGCUUUCAUGGAGGCAGUGGCUGGUCACUUUUCCGACAAUGAAGAGUUGUCCAGUUCGUUUUCAAACUACCAGAUUUCACCAAAAGAACCAGAACACGUCUCCUGCCGGCCGAUAGCCCCUUUCCACGACUAAGAACGUCUGCGGGAUGUUGGCACUCUGUGGAAAAAGACAACCUGAAGCAGCAUCCGCAGGUUUGUCCUCGUCCCCGGACCCCCCACACGAGGUGCAACCUCCCACAUUACACUACCCAGCGGGGACCACGUGAGGUCUAGUCUGUUGUGUCCUUUUAGCAAACUAGAGUUCUACGGUUCCUAACAGGAUUUCUAACGGAUAGCACUACCUUCCAAAUACAUUUUUUUUUUUUUACACCCCAGGAAGGUUUUAACUGCCCAUUCACACAAAUCUCAAGUUGAUGGAAGGAGGACAACAAAAGAGUGUCUUUUUAUUUUAAAAACAUUUAUAAAUAUGAACACCUUUGAUGGGACUUUCGGGUGCUCUUGACAUCCAUAAGCAUUUCCGGGAAACCACCUGCAAUGUCUAGAGCACUUCAAAAACUCCGGUGUGACCAUUUCCAGUUGUGGAACCAAACUCAAGGAGAGCCGCAGACACCUUCUCAGAGAGGAGGUGGGUCACUUCACAGGUUUUAUUAGUUAUUCUCCUCCUCAUCCUCUUACCGCUUUCUCAUACUCUUCAUCGCCCUCCUGCACCCUUUUUCCCAGGGAAUGUUAGAUGGCCCCUUCUUCCCAUUUUCCUUUAGAUUGUUUGACAACAUCGUUCUCACUCAUCUCCUUCAACUUUGUUGCCUCAUUAUAAGGGGGCUUCUCAGUACCACUCAAAUUAUUCCGCAUCCUUUGUUUUCUAGCACUGUGUCACAAAUUCCUACAAACUUUGCAGUUCAAAGCAGCACCCGUUGAUCAGCUCACAGUUGUGUAGACCAGAAGUCUGGUAUGUUAUGACUAGGAUCCCUGCUCAGGGAAUCACAAGGCUGAAAUCCAGUUAUCAGCCAACCUGAAUCCUCAUCUGCAGGCUCUGAGUAGACAUCACUUCCAGGCUCCUUCAAGUGGCUGACAGAAUUCAUUUCCUUGUGGGUGUAGGACUGAGGACCCUGUUUCCUUGAUGGCUCUUGGCCAGAGCCCUCUCUCAGCUCUGUAAAGUUUCCUGGGUUCCUUUCAGGUAGCCUCCUACAUCUUGAAGGCAAACCCCCUUUAUUCCUCAAAUCUCUCUGACUUCCUCUUCCACCUGCUGGAGAAAGGUCUCUGCUUGGAAAGGUUUUCUUGGUUACAUCAUGCCCAUCCAGAUAAUCUCCUGUUUUAAGACCAACUCUGCCAUAGAACACAAUCACAUUGUGAGUGACGUCUCAUCGCAUCCAUAGGUUCCAGGGAUUAAGGUAGAAUAUCUUUGUGGAGGAAUUCUAGGAAUCCUGCAUACCGUAACAUAUCACCAGCUUUUUGGCCACAUCCUCAAUGAAAAUGCCUGGGUGUGUAGAUUUGAUCUUGCACAGAGGUCUAAGUAGAAAAGGAGGAAGCCAGAUGGGGUAUGAAAACAUUUGGGAUAUUAUGAUCUUUCUUCUUGUCUCCCUUAGCUGGUCACUGACCUUCCUUUCCUGAUCAUCGUGCCCUUUACCAUUUCAUCAGAUUCGCAUUUCUCUCUCCCACAUACUGUAUUUCACCUCCCAGAGCAUUUGGAGAAUGCAUAGUUCACAGGAGUCUCUGGAUUUUUCUUCAUAUGUCCCUCCCAGCAUAUCUUCACAAAGAGAGCAUGAAUAGGCAUCUUGCCCUUUGGUUUCUUGGGGACACCAUUUGCUCUCCUGACUGUACUGUUUGCUGGUCCAGGCAACAGAGUGCAUAACAAUUUCCCAGUCUUGUACUAGCUGCCUCCCCAAGAACAGCCUCAGGCAAAGAUUUCUUAAGACACAAAAAAGCAGUAACCAUAAAGGGAAAAAGUAUUGAUCAAUUGGAUUCCAUUAAAAUGAAGAACAUCAAUUCUUCCAAUACCACUGAGAGUGAAAAGAUAAGCCAGAGACCAGUAGAAGAGAGUUUCAAUACAUAUUCCUGUAAAAGGUCUCUUACUAUCUGGACUGUAAAGAGCACUCCUUCAAGUCAGUAAGAAAAAGGAAGAGAACUCAAUACAAAAAUGGGCAAAAGUCAAAAUAGAUACUUCAAAAGAGAAGAUAUCCAAACAGAAGAUAAACAUAUAAAAAGGCAUUGGACUGCAUUAGUCAGUCACUAGGGAAACGCAGAUUAACAUCAGAAAGGAGAUGCCCUAGCAGAUCUCCAAAGUGGCUAAAGUGAGAGAGAUGAGACAAUGUCGAUCUCUCAUACGCUGUGGAGCAACCACAAUGUACAGCAACCAGAUCUCUCAUACUUUGCACACAGUGCAAAUUGUUACUGCUUUGGAAAGCUGUUAGCGUGUAUUAAAACUGAUUAUACCCAA